CUGAGCCCAUGCCUGUACUGAGACUUGUCCUAUCUGCUAAACUCAACCCAUUUUUUUUUUUGGGGGGGGGCGUGGAUGGGUAGGGAAUUACCUGGAUAGAAACAACAGCUUGAUAGAACUCUACAUCUUCUUGCCUUUCUGACCAGCCCAGCAUGCACUGCAUGGGGUAGGUCAGUGGGCUUCCUAUCUAUCCCCUCUGAGCCCCCAAGAAUGAUGUCAUUCACCAGGAAUCAAGACCCAACUCUCCACCCUAAAACCCAGGAUAGCCAGGAUCCGGCUCCCCUUCACAGGGAACUAGGAUCUUCGUCAUGACAAAUUACAGGCUGUCAAAAAGCCUCCUGAACUCUGGUCCACAUGGCCCGGUAUGGACACACAGCACAGGUGAGUCCCUACACUGGGGUGCCCCACGGCCUCUGAGGCCAUACCCACAAGCUGUGCAGCUGCUGCGUGUAAGCCAUGCUGGAAGCCCCACAGCGCCUGGCCCCACCCAGGAGCAACUGGAAUAGAAUACAACAGGUUAAUUGAAGGACACCGUUGGUCUCAGAUUCACCUGGGUACUUGGAUGCGGAGCUCCAUCCAGUUCUUACAUCCAGCACUCUCCUAGGCCCUCACAUGGUAUGAUAGCCCUAAUCAGGGCGGUCACAAUAAAAGACUCACUUCCAAUCAUUUUCAAUUCAUAAAGUCAAUUUGGAGGAGCCCGUCCGUUCAUAAAGCUGGACAUUCUGAGGAUGAACAAUUCAGAGGUGUGCCUGUGAGCAAGCAGAGAAGGCCUUCUGCAUAUGCUUGGACCAGGUCUGGUACUUGGUGAAACUCUGAGGCCUGAGCCACACCAUGUGGAUUCUGAGGAGUCACACAUGUGGCCCUCCAAGGCCCAAGGUCAGGAGCGAAGCCCUGCAUGAAAGGUGUUCUGAUGUACAGUUAUUUCCUGGACCUGGUCUUUAACACCACGUGUGGGCCA